UUAAGUUAUUAAGGGCGCACGGUGGAUGCCUUGGCACUAGAAGCCGAUGAAGGACGUUACUAACGACGAUAUGCUUUGGGGAGCUGUAAGUAAGCUUUGAUCCAGAGAUUUCCGAAUGGGGAAACCUAGCAUGAGUUAUGUCAUGUUAUCGAUAUGUGAAUACAUAGCAUAUCAGAAGGCACACCCGGAGAACUGAAACAUCUUAGUACCCGGAGGAAGAGAAAGAAAAUUCGAUUCCCUUAGUAGCGGCGAGCGAAACGGGAAGAGCCCAAACCAACAAGCUUGCUUGUUGGGGUUGUAGGACACUCUAUACGGAGUUACAAAGGACGACAUUAGACGAAUCAUCUGGAAAGAUGAAUCAAAGAAGGUAAUAAUCCUGUAGUCGAAAAUGUUGUCUCUCUUGAGUGGAUCCUGAGUACGACGGAGCACGUGAAAUUCCGUCGGAAUCUGGGAGGACCAUCUCCUAAGGCUAAAUACUCUCUAGUGACCGAUAGUGAACCAGUACCGUGAGGGAAAGGUGAAAAGCACCCCGGAAGGGGAGUGAAAUAGAACCUGAAACCGUGUGCUUACAAGUAGUCAGAGCCCGUUAAUGGGUGAUGGCGUGCCUUUUGUAGAAUGAACCGGCGAGUUACGAUUUGAUGCAAGGUUAAGCAGUAAAUGUGGAGCCGUAGCGAAAGCGAGUCUGAAUAGGGCGUUUAGUAUUUGGUCGUAGACCCGAAACCAGGUGAUCUACCCUUGGUCAGGUUGAAGUUCAGGUAACACUGAAUGGAGGACCGAACCGACUUACGUUGAAAAGUGAGCGGAUGAACUGAGGGUAGCGGAGAAAUUCCAAUCGAACCUGGAGAUAGCUGGUUCUCUCCGAAAUAGCUUUAGGGCUAGCCUCAAGUGAUGAUUAUUGGAGGUAGAGCACUGUUUGGACGAGGGGCCCCUCUCGGGUUACCGAAUUCAGACAAACUCCGAAUGCCAAUUAAUUUAACUUGGGAGUCAGAACAUGGGUGAUAAGGUCCGUGUUCGAAAGGGAAACAGCCCAGACCACCAGCUAAGGUCCCAAAAUAUAUGUUAAGUGGAAAAGGAUGUGGCGUUGCCCAGACAACUAGGAUGUUGGCUUAGAAGCAGCCAUCAUUUAAAGAGUGCGUAAUAGCUCACUAGUCGAGUGACACUGCGCCGAAAAUGUACCGGGGCUAAACAUAUUACCGAAGCUGUGGAUUGUCCUUUGGACAAUGGUAGGAGAGCGUUCUAAGGGCGUUGAAGCAUGAUCGUAAGGACAUGUGGAGCGCUUAGAAGUGAGAAUGCCGGUGUGAGUAGCGAAAGACGGGUGAGAAUCCCGUCCACCGAUUGACUAAGGUUUCCAGAGGAAGGCUCGUCCGCUCUGGGUUAGUCGGGUCCUAAGCUGAGGCCGACAGGCGUAGGCGAUGGAUAACAGGUUGAUAUUCCUGUACCACCUAUAAUCGUUUUAAUCGAUGGGGGGACGCAGUAGGAUAGGCGAAGCGUGCGAUUGGAUUGCACGUCUAAGCAGUAAGGCUGAGUAUUAGGCAAAUCCGGUACUCGUUAAGGCUGAGCUGUGAUGGGGAGAAGACAUUGUGUCUUCGAGUCGUUGAUUUCACACUGCCGAGAAAAGCCUCUAGAUAGAAAAUAGGUGCCCGUACCGCAAACCGACACAGGUAGUCAAGAUGAGAAUUCUAAGGUGAGCGAGCGAACUCUCGUUAAGGAACUCGGCAAAAUGACCCCGUAACUUCGGGAGAAGGGGUGCUCUUUAGGGUUAACGCCCAGAAGAGCCGCAGUGAAUAGGCCCAAGCGACUGUUUAUCAAAAACACAGGUCUCUGCUAAACCGUAAGGUGAUGUAUAGGGGCUGACGCCUGCCCGGUGCUGGAAGGUUAAGAGGAGUGGUUAGCUUCUGCGAAGCUACGAAUCGAAGCCCCAGUAAACGGCGGCCGUAACUAUAACGGUCCUAAGGUAGCGAAAUUCCUUGUCGGGUAAGUUCCGACCCGCACGAAAGGCGUAACGAUUUGGGCACUGUCUCAACGAGAGACUCGGUGAAAUCAUAGUACCUGUGAAGAUGCAGGUUACCCGCGACAGGACGGAAAGACCCCGUGGAGCUUUACUGUAGCCUGAUAUUGAAAUUCGGCACAGCUUGUACAGGAUAGGUAGGAGCCUUUGAAACGUGAGCGCUAGCUUACGUGGAGGCGCUGGUGGGAUACUACCCUAGCUGUGUUGGCUUUCUAACCCGCACCACUUAUCGUGGUGGGAGACAGUGUCAGGCGGGCAGUUUGACUGGGGCGGUCGCCUCCUAAAAGGUAACGGAGGCGCUCAAAGGUUCCCUCAGAAUGGUUGGAAAUCAUUCAUAGAGUGUAAAGGCAUAAGGGAGCUUGACUGCGAGACCUACAAGUCGAGCAGGGUCGAAAGACGGACUUAGUGAUCCGGUGGUUCCGCAUGGAAGGGCCAUCGCUCAACGGAUAAAAGCUACCCCGGGGAUAACAGGCUUAUCUCCCCCAAGAGUUCACAUCGACGGGGAGGUUUGGCACCUCGAUGUCGGCUCAUCGCAUCCUGGGGCUGUAGUCGGUCCCAAGGGUUGGGCUGUUCGCCCAUUAAAGCGGUACGCGAGCUGGGUUCAGAACGUCGUGAGACAGUUCGGUCCCUAUCCGUCGUGGGCGUAGGAAAUUUGAGAGGAGCUGUCCUUAGUACGAGAGGACCGGGAUGGACAUACCUCUGGUGUACCAGUUGUCGUGCCAACGGCAUAGCUGGGUAGCUAUGUGUGGACGGGAUAAGUGCUGAAAGCAUCUAAGCAUGAAGCCCCCCUCAAGAUGAGAUUUCCCAACUUCGGUUAUAAGAUCCCUCAAAGAUGAUGAGGUUAAUAGGUUCGAGGUGGAAGCAUGGUGACAUGUGGAGCUGACGAAUACUAAUCGAUCGAAGACUUAAUCAA
rnacentral:rRNA from 3 species